rnacentral:rRNA from 1 species
CUACGGGGGGCUGCAGUAAGGAAUAUUGCGCAAUGGAGGCAACUCUGACGCAGCCAUGCCGCGUGCAGGAAGAAGGCCUUAUGGGUCGUAAACUGCUUUUAUUUAGGAAUAAACCCCCGAACGUGUUCGGGGCUGAAGGUACUAAACGAAUAAGCACCGGCUAACUCCGUGCCAGCAGCCGCGGUAAUACGGAGGGUGCAAGCGUUAUCCGGAUUUAUUGGGUUUAACGGGUGCGCAGGCGGGCUAUUAAGUCAGUGGUGAAAUCCCGGGGCUCAACUCCGGAACUGCCAUUGAUACUGAUAGUCUUGAGUUUGGUUGAAGUGGGCGGAAUGUAGCAUGUAGCGGUGAAAUGCAUAGAUAUGCUACAGAACACCAAUCGCGAAGGCAGCUCACUAAGCCAAAACUGACGCUCAUGCACGAAAGCGUGGGGAUCAAACAGGAUUAGAUACCCGUGUAGUC